CCUACGGGAGACAGCAGUCGAGAAUCAUUCACAAUGGGGGAAACCCUGAUGCAGCGACGCCGCGUGAGUGAAGAAGUAAUUCGUUAUGUAAAGCUCUAUCAGCAGGGAAGAAAAUGACGGUACCUGAGUAAGAAGCCCCGGCUAACUACGUGCCAGCAGCCGCGGUAAUACGUAGGGGGCAAGCGUUAUCCGGAUUUACUGGGUGUAAAGGGAGCGUAGACGGCAGUGCAAGUCUGGAGUGAAAGGCGGGGGCUCAACCCCCGGACUGCUCUGGAAACUGGACGGCUGGAGUGCAGGAGAGGUAAGUGGAAUUCCGAGUGUAGCGGUGAAAUGCGUAGAUAUUCGGAGGAACACCGGUGGCGAAGGCGGCCAACUGGGCUUUAACUGACGCUGAGGCUCGAAAGUGUGGGGAGCAAACAGGAUUAGAUACCCUUGUAGUC
rnacentral:rRNA from 1 species